GGGUUGUGAGGUUAAGCGACUAAGCGUACACGGUGGAUGCCCUGGCAGUCAGAGGCGAUGAAGGACGUGCUAAUCUGCGAAAAGCGUCGGUAAGGUGAUAUGAACCGUUAUAACCGGCGAUGUCCGAAUGGGGAAACCCAGUGCAAUUCGUUGCACUAUCGUUAACUGAAUACAUAGGUUAACGAGGCGAACCGGGGGAACUGAAACAUCUAAGUACCCCGAGGAAAAGAAAUCAACCGAGAUUCCCCCAGUAGCGGCGAGCGAACGGGGAGCAGCCCAGAGUCUGAAUCAGCUUGUGUGUUAGUGGAACGGUCUGGAAAGUCCGACGGUACAGGGUGAUAGUCCCGUACACCAAAAUGCACAGGCUGUGAACUCGAAGAGUAGGGCGGGACACGUGGUAUCCUGUCUGAAUAUGGGGGGACCAUCCUCCAAGGCUAAAUACUCCUGACUGACCGAUAGUGAACCAGUACCGUGAGGGAAAGGCGAAAAGAACCCCGGCGAGGGGAGUGAAAAAGAACCUGAAACCGUGUACGUACAAGCAGUGGGAGCACCUUCGGGUGUGACUGCGUACCUUUUGUAUAAUGGGUCAGCGACUUAUAUUCUGUAGCAAGGUUAACCAUAUAGGGGAGCCGCAGGGAAACCGAGUCUUAACUGGGCGUUAAGUUGCAGGGUAUAGACCCGAAACCCGGUGAUCUAGCCAUGGGCAGGUUGAAGGUUGGGUAACACUAACUGGAGGACCGAACCGACUAAUGUUGAAAAAUUAGCGGAUGACUUGUGGCUGGGGGUGAAAGGCCAAUCAAACCGGGAGAUAGCUGGUUCUCCCCGAAAGCUAUUUAGGUAGCGCCUCGUGAAUUCAUCUUCGGGGGUAGAGCACUGUUUCGGCUAGGGGGUCAUCCCGACUUACCAACCCGAUGCAAACUACGAAUACCGAAGAAUGUUAUCACGGGAGACACACGGCGGGUGCUAACGUCCGUCGUGAAGAGGGAAACAACCCAGACCGCCAGCUAAGGUCCCAAAGUCAUGGUUAAGUGGGAAACGAUGUGGGAAGGCACAGACAGCCAGGAUGUUGGCUUAGAAGCAGCCAUCAUUUAAAGAAAGCGUAAUAGCUCACUGGUCGAGUCGGCCUGCGCGGAAGAUGUAACGGGGCUAAACCAUGCACCGAAGCUGCGGCAGCGACACUAUGUGUUGUUGGGUAGGGGAGCGUUCUGUAAGCCUGCGAAGGUGACCUGUGAGGGUUGCUGGAGGUAUCAGAAGUGCGAAUGCUGACAUAAGUAACGAUAAAGCGGGUGAAAAGCCCGCUCGCCGGAAGACCAAGGGUUCCUGUCCAACGUUAAUCGGGGCAGGGUGAGUCGACCCCUAAGGCGAGGCCGAAAGGCGUAGUCGAUGGGAAACAGGUUAAUAUUCCUGUACUUGGUGUUACUGCGAAGGGGGGACGGAGAAGGCUAUGUUAGCCGGGCGACGGUUGUCCCGGUUUAAGCAUGUAGGCUGGUUAUCCAGGCAAAUCCGGAUAAUCAAGGCUGAGGUGUGAUGACGAGGCACUACGGUGCUGAAGUAACAAAUGCCCUGCUUCCAGGAAAAGCCUCUAAGCAUCAGGUAACAUUAAAUCGUACCCCAAACCGACACAGGUGGUCAGGUAGAGAAUACCAAGGCGCUUGAGAGAACUCGGGUGAAGGAACUAGGCAAAAUGGUGCCGUAACUUCGGGAGAAGGCACGCUGGUGUGUAGGUGAAGUCCCUGCGGAUGGAGCUGAGACCAGUCGAAGAUACCAGCUGGCUGCAACUGUUUAUUAAAAACACAGCACUGUGCAAACACGAAAGUGGACGUAUACGGUGUGACGCCUGCCCGGUGCCGGAAGGUUAAUUGAUGGGGUUAUCCGUAAGGAGAAGCUCUUGAUCGAAGCCCCGGUAAACGGCGGCCGUAACUAUAACGGUCCUAAGGUAGCGAAAUUCCUUGUCGGGUAAGUUCCGACCUGCACGAAUGGCGUAAUGAUGGCCAGGCUGUCUCCACCCGAGACUCAGUGAAAUUGAACUCGCUGUGAAGAUGCAGUGUACCCGCGGCAAGACGGAAAGACCCCGUGAACCUUUACUAUAGCUUGACACUGAACAUUGAGCCUUGAUGUGUAGGAUAGGUGGGAGGCUUUGAAGCGUGGACGCCAGUCUGCGUGGAGCCAACCUUGAAAUACCACCCUUUAAUGUUUGAUGUUCUAACGUUGGCCCCUGACCGGGGUUGCGGACAGUGUCUGGUGGGUAGUUUGACUGGGGCGGUCUCCUCCCAAAGCGUAACGGAGGAGCACGAAGGUUAGCUAAUCCUGGUCGGACAUCAGGAGGUUAGUGCAAUGGCAUAAGCUAGCUUGACUGCGAGCGUGACGGCGCGAGCAGGUGCGAAAGCAGGUCAUAGUGAUCCGGUGGUUCUGAAUGGAAGGGCCAUCGCUCAACGGAUAAAAGGUACUCCGGGGAUAACAGGCUGAUACCGCCCAAGAGUUCAUAUCGACGGCGGUGUUUGGCACCUCGAUGUCGGCUCAUCACAUCCUGGGGCUGAAGUAGGUCCCAAGGGUAUGGCUGUUCGCCAUUUAAAGUGGUACGCGAGCUGGGUUUAGAACGUCGUGAGACAGUUCGGUCCCUAUCUGCCGUGGGCGCUGGAGAAUUGAGGGGGGCUGCUCCUAGUACGAGAGGACCGGAGUGGACGCAUCACUGGUGUUCGGGUUGUCAUGCCAAUGGCACUGCCCGGUAGCUAAAUGCGGAAGAGAUAAGUGCUGAAAGCAUCUAAGCACGAAACUUGCCCCGAGAUGAGUUCUCCCUGAGACUUUAAGUCUCCUGAAGGAACGUUGAAGACGACGACGUUGAUAGGCCGGGUGUGUAAGCGCAGCGAUGCGUUGAGCUAACCGGUACUAAUGAACCGUGAGGCUUAACCUUACAACGCCGAAG
rnacentral:rRNA from 1 species